CCUGCCGGUGUGGCUGUCAGAGGGACCCCCCUCCCGGCUGCAUCCCCGCUCCACUCCGUUUCCGCGACGCUCUCCCAUUUUCCUUCGGACUCUGGCACUCCACCUUCCAGGAGACUGGCACAAAAAGUGUCUUUAUUCCAAGGCAAGGCCGCUGGGUCAGGUACCUCACAUCCUGGAUCAAUAAAGAUGCUGGCAAGGCUGGCUUCCCCUUCCCCGGCAUCGCUGCGAGCCGGGUCUGGUGUUAGAGCUCUGCGGAAGAUGCCGAGGGCUGCUUUGCGCUGGAGGAGCGGUCGAGUUCCAGCCCUGGCUCGGAGCCGUGUAUUUUCCCGAUGUUUUACCCCAAGGAGAAGGGUUUGGCUGUGGAAGAGCAGCACUGGGAAUGCUUCACAAAGACGUAAGAGCCGGGAGAAAAAUAUAAAGUGAAAAAAGGAAAAUCGAGUUAUUGAAAGAGCUUUUUUUUUUUUUUUCCCUGGUUUUUGUUUGGCUUGGGGAUUUUUCACCCCCUGGAAGCAGAUCCAUCACUCUGCUGGGGCAGUGUAAUGUUUCUGAGCCUGAAAUUCCUGUCACGAUGCGGCAGAAAUCCUACCCCGGAGUGUCAGAAGGAGAGUUGGAUAGUGUCUGUGAGAAACAUACUGAUAAUAUGGAAUUACUUUCCUGGAAAAGGUGGACUUGGGAGCGCAGCACAUAUUCCAACAGCAGAAAGGAAAACUGAUAAGCUGCUCCCUGUAAGGUGUUGAUCCAUCCCAACACAGGAGUUUAUCCUCUGUGCUAAUUGCACCCUUAUGUCAGCUCUGCCUAAUCUAAGUAUAAACCAGGCUUAUAUUUAAAUAUGUGCUUUGUAGCUUCCCUGGCCUGAUAAAGCGGGAUCAAGUGCUGCAAGUCUGCCUGUUGGAUGUGCAAAAAUCAGUGCACGGGCUUCUUCUGGCUGGGAAAUGCUGCCUUGUCUUGCUGCAUCACACAAAAUGCUUGAGUACGAUGGUGACUCGGGGUGGGUUGGUGCACACCUCGUCAGGAGGGGGAAGUUAUGGAAUGGUGGGGAAUAAAGGCAGUACCAGAA